rnacentral:rRNA from 1 species
UACAGAGGGUGCGAGCGUUAAUCGGAAUUACUGGGCGUAAAGCGUGCGUAGACGGUUAUUUAAGUCGGAUGUGAAAGCCCCGGGCUCAUCCUGGGAAUUGCAUUCGAGACUGAAUAGCUAGGGUGCGGUAGAGGGAAGCGGAAUUUCCGGUGUAGCGGUGAAAUGCGUAGAUAUCGGAAGGAACAUCAGUGGCGAAAGCGGCUUCCUGGACCAGCACCGACGUUCAGGCACGAAAGCGUGGGGAGCAAACGGG